rnacentral:rRNA from 1 species
GACGAACGCUGGCGGCGUGCUUAACACAUGCAAGUCGAACGGAAAGGCCCUGCUUUUGUGGGGUGCUCGAGUGGCGAACGGGUGAGUAACACGUGAGUAACCUGCCCUUGACUUUGGGAUAACUUCAGGAAACUGGGGCUAAUACCGGAUAGGAGCUCCUGCUGCAUGGUGGGGGUUGGAAAGUUUCGGCGGUUGGGGAUGGACUCGCGGCUUAUCAGCUUGUUGGUGGGGUAGUGGCUUACCAAGGCUUUGACGGGUAGCCGGCCUGGGAGGGUGACCGGCCACAUGGGGACUGAGAGACGGCCCAGACUCCUACGGGAGGCAGCAGUGGGGAAUAUUGCACAAUGGGCGGAAGCCUGAUGCAGCGACGCCGCGUGCGGGAUGACGGCCUUCGGGUUGUAAACCGCUUUCGCCUGUGACGAAGCGUGAGUGACGGUAAUGGGUAAAGAAGCACCGGCUAACUACGUG